rnacentral:rRNA from 1 species
UACGAGGGGGGCGAGCGUUGUUCGGAAUCACUGGGCAUAAAGCGCACGUAGGCGGCGACGUAAGUUGGGUGUGAAAUCCCUCGGCCCAACCGAGGAACUGCGCCCAGUACUGCGUUGCUUGAGGAUCCAAGGGGUGCAUGGAAUUCCCGGUGGAGCGGUGAAAUGCGUUGAUAUCGGGAGGAACUCCGGCGGCGAAAGCGGUGCACUGGUGGAUUACUGACGCUGAGGUGCGAAAGCCAGGGGAGCAAACGGG